CGUACACUCCUACGGGAGGCAGCAGUGGGGAAUAUUAGACAAUGGGCGCAAGCCUGAUCCAGCCAUGCCGCGUGAGUGAUGAAGGCCCUAGGGUUGUAAAGCUCUUUCACCGGUGAAGAUAAUGACGGUAACCGGAGAAGAAGCCCCGGCUAACUUCGUGCCAGCAGCCGCGGUAAUACGAAGGGGGCUAGCGUUGUUCGGAUUUACUGGGCGUAAAGCGCACGUAGGCGGACUAUUAAGUCAGGGGUGAAAUCCCGGGGCUCAACCCCGGAACUGCCUUUGAUACUGGUAGUCGUGAGUUCGAGAGAGGUGAGUGGAAUUCCGAGUGUAGAGGUGAAAUUCGUAGAUAUUCGGAGGAACACCAGUGGCGAAGGCGGCUCACUGGCUCGAUACUGACGCUGAGGUGCGAAAGCGUGGGGAGCAAACAGGAUUAGAAACCCCGGUAGUCCCAUGA
rnacentral:rRNA from 1 species